UCUUGUCCCCUAGAGGGAAAUGAGAGAGGCCUGGGAAAAUCUGGUAAUAACAGAACUCCCCUUUCAAAUACAAUCCCUGCUGCAGUCAGUUUGUUUGUUCCAGUCCAAGUCCCGAUGGACACAUUUCCACCUGGCUCAACAUAAAACUACACCACCACAACCGGCACCCCUGCUCACAGCCUCUUAGAGAAUCCAGCCACUGAAUGAGCUUACGGAUGGAACCAUCCUCUCUGUUCUAAACAGGUUAGUUCCUCUAGGUUGGGAUUGAUGUUUAUGGGCAGGGUGGUAUGAGGAAGCUUACGUUACCACUGCCUGCUGUAUAGCUAACAGAAGAUCCCAGUUACGAGGUCUGUGAAGACAGCACAAUUAACAGAUAUUCCUGUAAAUUCCCAAGAUCGUUUUUAAAGGGACAUGCAAGAUGCAUUAUUUGUAGAGGCAAUGACAGUAGACAUUUCUUUAAUCAGUAUUUAUGCCCACUAAUUCUUCUAAAUUUAGCACCUGUGUCCACUAAUCUCUAAGCCAUCUGGAAGGCAUCAGAUAUCAAAAGGAAAAGAAAAGUAAUUGCUCUGGCUCUGGGGAAUUAAGCAUUGAAUUUGUGGGGAAGAAGGAUUUAGUCAAUGGAUUUCUUUCAGGACACCUCAAAAUCUGGCUGCAACUGCUUAGUAAGCAAAUGCUGAAUCAAACAUCUGUGUGCCAUAUAAGCACAACUAAACCUGUACAAUUACUGCGCUCAUUCACUUGCAUAACAAGUCACAUGCCAAUUACCUCACUUAGCCUGUUUGGGAGGAGGAGGAUCCACUGAAAGAGAAUCUGCAGAGCAGCUGGAAGCAAUUUCUUUGUCUUCUCAUUACUUUCUUUUGAUCUUCUCUCUUCAUAUUUAGCUAUGUCGUCACUGCAAAUAAGGGGCGUGUUUACCAUGGGAUAACUAACUUGCAUUAGUUAUCACACUGUAAAAUCUCAGUGGAGAUAAGGCACACGUAGUUUUUAGCAUGAUGUAGCUGUGGGGGAGGGGUGGUCAACACCGUAUCUCCACCUGUGGUUGACCUCACCUAUUCAGUUCACUAUUAAAUCUACAGGUGCCUUGUCUCCAGUAGGAUUUUGCAGGGGGAUCAUUAAUGCACAUUUGUUCUCAGGGUAAAAACACAUGGCAAUGAAUACAAAGCCUU
rnacentral:lncRNA from 1 species